rnacentral:rRNA from 1 species
AUACGUAGGUGACAAGCGUUAUCCGGAUUUACUGGGCGUAAAGGGCGUGUAGGCGGUCUUGCAAGUCAGAAGUGAAAUUCCUGAGCUCAACUCGGGCGCUGCUUCUGAAACUGCAGGACUCGAGUGCUGGCGGGGAUAGCGGACAUCCUGGUGUAGCGGUGAAAUGCGCAGAUAUCAGGAGGAACCCCGGUGGCGAAGGCGGGUCUCUGGGCAGUAACUGACGCUGAGGAGCGAAAGCAUGGGUAGCGAACAGGAUUAGAUACCCUGGUAGUCCACGCUGUAAACGAUGAGCACUAGGUGUCGGGCUAGCAAUAGUUCGGUGCCGCAGUUAACGCAAUAAGUGCUCCGCCUGGGGAGUACGCACGCAAGUGUGAAACUCAAAUGAAUUGGCGGGG